GAUGAAGAACGUAGCGAAAUGCGAUAAGUAAUGUGAAUUGCAGAGUUUAGUGAAUCAUCGAAUCUUUGAACGCACAUUGCGCCCGCGAGUAUUCUCGCGGGCAUGCCUGUCCGAGCGUCAUUUCAACCCUCAGGGCCCGCCUGCUUGCAGGCGCGGCGCUGGUGUUGGGGAUCGGCUACCCUGCCGUCCCCCAAAUACAGUGGCGGUCUCGCUGCAGCCUCCCCUGCGUAGUAGCAACACUCGCAUGCGGAGCGCGGCGCGGCCACGCCGUAAAACCCCCGACUUUCUGAACGUUGACCUCGGAUCAGGUAGGAAUACCCGCUGAACUUAAGCAUAUCAAUAAGCGGAGGA
rnacentral:misc_RNA from 1 species